UAACCUGCCUCUAUUGUUUAGGAAAGGGCUUCCAAAGUACAAAACAUUAAAGCUUGUUCUGGUAACCUGCCUCUAUUGUUUAGGAAAGGGCUUCCAAAGUACAAAACAUUAAAGCUUGUUCUGGUAACCUGCCUCUAUUGUUUAGGAAAGGGCUUCCAAAGUACAAAACAUUAAAGCUUGUUCUGGUAACCUGCCUCUAUUGUUUAGGAAAGGGCUUCCAAAGUACAAAACAUUAAAGCUUGUUCUGGUAACCUGCCUCUAUUGUUUAGGAAAGGGCUUCCAAAGUACAAAACAUUAAAGCUUGUUCUGGUAACCUGCCUCUAUUGUUUAGGAAAGGGCUUCCAAAGUACAAAACAUUAAAGCUUGUUCUGGUAA